rnacentral:rRNA from 1 species
GACGAACGCUGGCGGCGUGCUUAACACAUGCAAGUCGAACGGUGAGGCCCUGCGGUGUGGGGGAGUUCGGAUGGCGAACGGAACACGUAAGCGUGCGGCCCCUGCCCCUGGGACUGGCACAACAACCGGAAACUGAGGCCAAUACCGGCUAGGCGCUCCUGCGGCUGUGUGGGGGAUGGUUUUUUGCGGCGGCUGGGGAUGGGCUCGCGGCUUAUCAGCUUGUUGGUGGGGUGAUGGCAGACCAAGGCGAUGACGGGUAGCCGGCCUGAGAGGGCGACCGGCCACACUGGGACUGAGACACGGCCCAGACUCCUACGGGAGGCAGCAGUGGGGAAUAUUGCACAAUGGGCGGAAGCCUGAUGCAGCAACGCCGCGUGAGGGAUGACGGCCUUCGGGUUGUAAACCUCUUUCACCUCCGAAGAAGCGAGAGUGACGGUAGGGGCAGAAGAAGCACCGGCUAACUACGUG